rnacentral:rRNA from 1 species
GUGGGGAAUAUUGGACAAUGGGCGCAAGCCUGAUCCAGCCAUGCCGCGUGAGUGAUGAAGGCCCUAGGGUUGUAAAGCUCUUUCAGUGGGGACGAUAAUGACGGUACCCACAGAAGAAGCCCCGGCUAACUUCGUGCCAGCAGCCGCGGUAAUACGAAGGGGGCUAGCGUUGUUCGGAUUUACUGGGCGUAAAGCGCACGUAGGCGGAUCGUUAAGUCGAUGGUGAAAUCCUGGAGCUCAACUCCGGAACUGCCUUCGAUACUGGCGAUCUGGAGUCCGGAAGAGGUGAGUGGAACUCCUAGUGUAGAGGUGGAAUUCGUAGAUAUUAGGAAGAACACCAGUGGCGAAGGCGGCUCACUGGUCCGGUACUGACGCUGAGGUGCGAAAGCGUGGGGAGCAAACAGGAUUAGAAACCCUAGUAGUCC